CGCGGCCUAUCAGCUUGUUGGUGGGGUGAUGGCCUACCAAGGCGACGACGGGUAGCCGGCCUGAGAGGGCGACCGGCCACACUGGGACUGAGACACGGCCCAGACUCCUACGGGAGGCAGCAGUGGGGAAUAUUGCACAAUGGGCGGAAGCCUGAUGCAGCGACGCCGCGUGAGGGAUGACGGCCUUCGGGUUGUAAACCUCUUUCAGCAGGGACGAAGCGUGAGUGACGGUACCUGCAGAAGAAGCGCCGGCCAACUACGUGCCAGCAGCCGCGGUAAGACGUAGGGCGCGAGCGUUGUCCGGAUUUAUUGGGCGUAAAGAGCUCGUAGGCGGCUUGUUACGUCGACUGUGAAAUCCCGCGGCUCAACUGCGGGUCUGCAGUCGAUACGGGCAGGCUAGAGUUCGGUAGGGGAGACUGGAAUUCCUGGUGUAGCGGUGAAAUGCGCAGAUAUCAGGAGGAACACCGGUGGCGAGGGCGGGUCUCUGGGCCGAUACUGACGCUGAGGAGCGAAAGCGUGGGGAGCGAACAGGAUUAGAUACCCUGGUAGUCCACGCUGUAAACGUUGGGCGCUAGGUGUGGGGGGCCUCUCCGGUUCUCUGUGCCGCAGCUAACGCAUUAAGCGCCCCGCCUGGGGAGUACGG
rnacentral:rRNA from 1 species